CGGUAAUACGGAGGGUGCAAGCGUUACUCGGAAUCACUGGGCGUAAAGCGCGCGCAGGCGGUCUAUUAAGUUGGAUGUGAAAGCCUACGGCUCAACCGUAGAACUGCAUCCAAAACUAUUAGACUAGAGUGUGGGAGAGGAAGAUGGAAUUAGUUGUGUAGGGGUAAAAUCCGUAGAGAUAACUAGGGAUACCAAAAGCGAAGGCAAUCUUCUGGAACACUACUGACGCUGAGGCGCGAAAGCGUGGGGAGCAAACAGGAUUAGAUACCCUGGUAGUCCACGCAGUAAACGAUGAAUGUUAGUCGUCGGGGGCCUAGUGUCUUCGGUGAUGCAGCUAACGCAUUAAACAUUCCGCCUGGGGAGUACGGUCGCAAGAUUAAAACUCAAAGGAAUAGACGGGGACCCGCACAAGUGGUGGAGCAUGUGGUUUAAUUCGAAGAUACGCGAAGAACCUUACCUAGCCUUGACAUAUUUGAAAAUCCACCAGAGAUGGAGGAGUGCCUUCGGGAGUUCAUAUACAGGUGCUGCACGGCUGUCGUCAGCUCGUGUCGUGAGAUGUUGGGUUAAGUCCCGCAACGAGCGCAACCCUCGUCACUAGUUACUAACGAUUCGGUCGAGGACUCUAGUGAGACUGCCUUCGCAAGAAGGAGGAAGGUGAGGACGACGUCAAGUCAUCAUGGCCCUUACGGCUAGGGCAACACACGUGCUACAAUGGCCAGGACAGUGAGAAGCGAUACCGCGAGGUGGAGCAAAUCUAUAAACCUGGUCUCAGUUCGGAUUGUAGUCUGCAACUCGACUACAUGAAGCUGGAAUCACUAGUAAUCGUAGAUCAGCUAUGCUACGGUGAAUACGUUCCCGGG
rnacentral:rRNA from 1 species